rnacentral:rRNA from 1 species
AGAACGAACGCUGGCGGCAUGUCUAAUACAUGCAAGUCGAACGAACACUUCGGUGUUAGUGGCGCACGGGUGCGUAACGCGUGGGAAUCUGCCCUUGGGUUCGGAAUAACAGUUGGAAACGACUGCUAAUACCGGAUGAUAUCGAAAGAUCAAAGAUUUAUCGCCCGGGGAUGAGCCCGCGUAGGAUUAGCUAGUUGGUGAGGUAAAGGCUCACCAAGGCGACGAUCCUUAGCUGGUCUGAGAGGAUGAUCAGCCACACUGGGACUGAGACACGGCCCAGACUCCUACGGGAGCAGCAGUAGGGAAUAGUUGGACAAGUGGGC